rnacentral:rRNA from 1 species
GACGAACGCUGGCGGCGUGCUUAACACAUGCAAGUCGAACGCUGAAGCUUGGUGCUUGCACUGGGUGGAUGAGUGGCGAACGGGUGAGUAAUACGUGAGUAACCUGCCCUUGACUCUGGGAUAAGCCUGGGAAACUGGGUAUAAUACUGGAUACGACAUGCCACUGCAUGGUGGUGUGUGGAAAGGGUUUUACUGGUUUUGGAUGGGCUCACGGCCUAUCAGCUUGUUGGUGGGGUAAUGGCCUACCAAGGCGACGACGGGUAGCCGGCCUGAGAGGGUGACCGGCCACACUGGGACUGAGACACGGCCCAGACUCCUACGGGAGGCAGCAGUGGGGAAUAUUGCACAAUGGGCGGAAGCCUGAUGCAGCGACGCCGCGUGAGGGAUGACGGCCUUCGGGUUGUAAACCUCUUUCAGCACGGAAGAAGCGAGAGUGACGGUACGUGCAGAAGAAGCGCCGGCUAACUACGUG